AUAGGACUCGCGUCAUUCUGAUCCCAUUAGUGAGCUUCAUCUAGCUCUAUUGGAAGUGAUCAUGUUACGUUAUGUCAAUAGCAUGCCAUUUCUACUGACAGUUAAAAAUGAAGACAUGCGUGCAAUAUCCACAAGCUACACUAUUAAUAGAAAAAUGAAACCCGUUUGGCCCCGUAGGACCUUGUAUUGUCUCAAUAACACAUGCAAUGCGACAAAGGAAUGUGAUGGAUGUUCUGGAUCUCCAAACUAUGACCCUCUUAAAGAACACAGAGCUUAUAGAACGGCCCAGUAUAAUGCAGAGGAGGAAGACGUGGAUUCAUAAGAAGAAAGAGAUUCAAAUGAUGAUCUAUGUUACUAUGAUUACACAGAUGAGAAAAGUUCUGAUUCCAAGAAAUUGCUCUCUGAUUCUUCCGAGGAAGAUGAUAAACAAGACAAGGCAGAAGGUGAGAAUCAAGAAUUUGAAGGAUUCGAGAAAGCCAACAAUAAACAAUUUGAAAAAAGGGCCCGUAGGGCAAGAUAUAUUAAUAAUCAAGAAAGCAAAAAAAACUCAGUUUCGCGCCAUUUUCACGACAGUUUACAGUGUUUCUUCAAUUCCCACUGUAUAACUGUGAAUCAAUUUACAAAAUUUCAUCAUGGGUUACGCAGAGCGGUGCGGGUAACUAUUAAAAACAAAAAAAUGUUUGAGAAAACAGUAAUCCUUACAUUUAUAGCACAUCUGGAUGCCUUAACUACAGCCUCGACCCUUUUAACGAAUUUUGUCCCAAAUAUUCAGAUGAAAAAAUUGAACCGGAACUGUUUCACCCAAAAUUUGACCUAUCUGAUGAUGAAUCUGACUACGACUUCUAUUCUGGCAAAAAUGAAAGCAAAAAAGAGUCAGACAUUGAGACUGACAUUGAUAGUGAACAGGAAUGAGAAAUUCAGAGCGACAAGGAAGAGGGUACUGAUGAGGAUGAGGGUACCAACAUGGAUCUGAAGACUAACAAGAAACCCACCAAGCAGCAGGAGAAAGCAAGAGCCCGUAAGAAAAGAUAUUUGAAUAACAAAAGGAACAAGAAGAUCAAGCUGGACAUCGAUAGUCUGCCAGAGAAGUUUGUUGCCAAGUGCUCGACAGAAUCUGACAGCGAUUUAUAGUACAACAGCGAGAAAGACGCAUGGAAAUGACAAAACUUCCCAAUUUUUCUAAAGAUUCUUUCUAUCCCCAUGUUUGUUUGUGACUUGAAUGUUUGUUUGAGCUUUUGUCUUAUCUUCCUAAUUUGUUUCAUUCCAAUAAAAUUGUUUCCCAACAGAAAAAGAAUAGUGUUGAACUUACAAUUCUGACAUUGAGAACUGAAGUGAAACAAACAAUUCUAGAAAACAAAAAUUU